AAAACAUGGUGUGGACAUUUAAGAAGCAAGUCCUUUCAUCUUUCCCACUAUUCAUGAAAGUGUUUACCUUCUUUUUGUGUGAAAUUAGUAAUUUCUUUGUGGAGAGC